AAAAGGAGGCAGAGAGAGGCUUGAGAAUCAGGUGAGUCGAGUCCACCUAAACAACGUGGAAUGUGGCGCGACCUAUACAAUUUUAACCCACUUCCUCCGCCACCGUGCCACGAAAAUCCGCCUUCUCUCUAUAACAAACUUUUAUCAAAAUGAAAUAAAUAACUAUUCUUACUAAUGUAACGUUUUAUUAUUAUCUGUUUCCUUGAAUCGCUGUGGGUUUGCACCUGCCGGAGCCUUCAGGCACUGAAGUGUAUGGGGGGCGUCGUUCGUCCACCUGUAGAGCGUGCUCUGUGUGUGUCUGUGUAUAUGGAUGAGAGAGAAGGACUUUCUACUUUCUACUUUCUAUUUGAUGAUAUCAUAUCUCUUUUAACUCAUGGCUUGCCUAGUAAAGCCACGGAUGGUCAGUGUCGUCUUUAUUUGGCCUGGCGAUAUUUGCUAGCUUUCUUUAUCGUUGUCUUCUAUGUGGGUAUAUUGCCUGCAUUGUUCAUCUCCAUCAUCUUCUUCUCUUUUAUGGUUAUCUCCGCCCUUUACUGAUUCUCUUUUUAUCUUCCUUUGAUAUCUUUAUUUCUAUUUUUGUCCGAAAUACCAUACGUAUUGUGAGGCAGUUCCUUCCUCGCCGUUUCAUCAAUCAAUAAUCAAUACUGUAGCUCAUGUAUCAUGGUGCUGAACUGCUGGUACGACUCUACUAGGCUCUACGGCUCUAGCAUGUGUCAUCUGGGAUAUGGGAUACUGUAUGAUUGCGAUUCUAAAUUUUUACAUCAGAUCAAAUUUUAAGUGUCAUAGAUACUUUAAUCCUGCUUGUGCAUUAUUGGACUGGUAGGGUCCCGGAUUGUGAUUAAAAUAUAUAUUUCUCUUUUUUUUUUUUUUUUUACUUUAAAGAGAUAAAAUAUAUAUAUACGUAUGUUAAUUUAAAAUUUAUAAAUAGAUAAAUGAUAGGUGUAUUAAGAUCUAUACGUAGAAUAAAUUUAUCUUACAUGGUUUCAUACACUAAGUCAAUUUAGAAUUUUUAACAUAAAUACACAAAGAAUUAAUCAAUUGACAGUUAGACAAGUGAAAUUAGAUUAUAUUUUUUUAAACGAAUUUUAUACUCCAAUCAAAAUUACCUUAAUAUUACUCUUGCUUGAGCUUGUAAGCAUCUUUAAAAAGAUGUGACAAAUUAAUCAAUAUCUAUUAUAUAUGUACCUUUGAAAUUUUAUCAUUGAUCUGUUUUCAAAAUAAAUAAAUAAAUAGGCGGAAUUGUCUUAUGUUUUCAAAAAUAAAAAGGUGUGUCUUGUAACAAUGAAAACUUUAAUUUUGUCUGUCCUAUUAAUAGACUUGUUCUUUUCGUUCUUAUUACCCUAAUUAAUUUAAGUUCAGAAAGAAAAAUCCAGAUAAAGAGUUGUCCGCCUACAACCCCUGCAUGAAUAGCAAGCGUCACUGUACUCAUUGUCCUCUUCACCCUGUAGAUAGACAAGAUAUAACAGCCAGGACAAAGUAAUUAGUAUUGAAGCUAACCCUAUUGUACAUAGCUGGCAAGCUUAAACAUGGACCAAUUAAUGGCUUGGUUGAUGGCUCGCUUUUCAUUUGCUUCUCUGUUAUCUUUUGCUUCUCAAAUCGCAUUGUUCACGUCAAAAUUUUCAAUUUCUUUUCUUGAUUAUGAAAGCGACUGGUAACGGUUGUCCGUGGACAGACGGACAUUAUAAAAAUUUAAUACCAUUUUAAUGUUUGUCGUUUUUUGCCUUCAUUGUUUAUGCAGUGAAAAGCCAGAAUUGAACGUCUUAAAACGACAAACUGCAUGCAGAAAUUACAGCGGUGAAAGCGACGUGCUUUUCAUCGGCGAUGGUGAAAUUCAGCAUCUCCGUCGUCGGCCGCCCGACCGUUUCUGAGACAAAGCAGGUCCAGACAAGACAGAUGGUUAAGAGAAGCCACGGGGCCAAUGUCAUAACGCGUGUCGCUUGGAGGGGGAUUCCGUAUAAGGGGACGUUACUUUUGCCUUGUUAUUAGAGCGGAGAGUGGAGAGACAUGCAAAUCAAAUGGAUAAUAAUAGUGCCGUGUGUUUAAUUAUCUGUUGGCUUGUUCUCGUGUUUGAUUUGAG
rnacentral:lncRNA from 1 species